CUGAAUGCAGACAGAAGAUGGAAAGCAAAUGACCAAGCCCUGACAACUGCCCAGACCAACACUGUGAUAAUCAGGUGGUUCUUCCACGUGAAUCUGGGGAAAAGAGGCUGAAAUUACUUAGGCCACCCGUCACCCAACCAGAGCCAAGGGCCCUCAGACAGACUACCUUGCUUUCCAUAGCUCUAGAGUAAGGGGGGGACACUGUGCAACGCCUGUG
rnacentral:lncRNA from 1 species